rnacentral:rRNA from 1 species
AAAUUGAAGAGUUUGAUCAUGGCUCAGAUUGAACGCUGGCGGCAGGCCUAACACAUGCAAGUCGAACGGUAACAGGAAGCGCUUGCUGCUUCGCUGACGAGUGGCGGACGGGUGAGUAAUGUCUGGGAAACUGCCUGAUGGAGGGGGAUAACUACUGGAAACGGUAGCUAAUACCGCAUAACGUCGCAAGACCAAAGAGGGGGACCUUCGGGCCUCUUGCCAUCGGAUGUGCCCAGAUGGGAUUAGCUUGUUGGUGGGGUAACGGCUCACCAAGGCGACGAUCCCUAGCUGGUCUGAGAGGAUGACCAGCCACACUGGAACUGAGACACGGUCCAGACUCCUACGGGAGGCAGCAGUGGGGAAUAUUGCACAAUGGGCGCAAGCCUGAUGCAGCCAUGCCGCGUGUAUGAAGAAGG